GUGGGGAAUAUUGCACAAUGGGGGAAACCCUGAUGCAGCAACGCCGCGUGAGUGAUGACGGUCUUCGGAUUGUAAAGCUCUGUCUUUAGGGACGAUAAUGACGGUACCUAAGGAGGAAGCCACGGCUAACUACGUGCCAGCAGCCGCGGUAAUACGUAGGUGGCAAGCGUUGUCCGGAUUUACUGGGCGUAAAGGGAGCGUAGGUGGAUAUUUAAGUGGGAUGUGAAAUACUCGGGCUUAACCUGGGUGCUGCAUUCCAAACUGGAUAUCUAGAGUGCAGGAGAGGAAAGUAGAAUUCCUAGUGUAGCGGUGAAAUGCGUAGAGAUUAGGAAGAAUACCAGUGGCGAAGGCGACUUUCUGGACUGUAACUGACACUGAGGCUCGAAAGCGUGGGGAGCAAACAGGAUUAGAUACCCUUGUAGUCC
rnacentral:rRNA from 1 species